rnacentral:rRNA from 1 species
UGCCACAGCCAUAUCACCCUGCAGCCCAAGACUGGUUGCCCACUGAAGCUAAGCAGGGUUGAGCCUGGUCAGUACUGGAUGGGAGACCACAAACCUGUGGUCUGUGUGGGUC